CAAAGAAAUAGUACCCUUUUCAGGAAAA
rnacentral:sRNA from 1 species